AAUUGAUGGGAGAAAUGAGGAAAAGAAAAUCUUUUUAAAAAUGAUUUCAAGGUUUGUGCUGAGCUCCUUGAUUGCCUUAGGGACAGAAUUACCCUAGCCUCUUGAGCUGAAGUAAUGUGUGGGCCGCAUGCAUAAAGAUGAACAGAGUUUAUGAAGGAGCAUCAUUCUAAGAAUUGAGUGAUGUAGUCUUUAUGUUUGGACAGUCCACCAGAUUCUCAAGAAGGCUUUCAAACAACUAUAAAGUUUGAUGUUUGUCCUGCUGAGCUAAUGGGGAAAGUUAUAGCAUAAAAAUUAUGUAACAGCAUAGGAUAUGUCAUUUUUAAAAACUGGUUUAACAGAAAUCAAGCAAAGUCACAAAUAUGUUCACAAGUUGGAAUUAUUUAGAGUCAAAAUGUCAUAUUGAACAUUUUGAAUGUCGUGUUAUAAAUGAAAAAUUGCCUGAUGUUUUAGCAGUUUGUAUUUUCUAAAACUUUUUUUCAAAAGUUCAGGCUUUCUACUUACUGGGAAGUUGGUGGUCCUCUUAGUCCCUGAUAAAUUAAGGCAAUCACAUUCAUGUGAGCUGGAUGAAUUUUUAAGUUAUAAAGACCUUAUCCUUCAUACCUUGAGGAUGAUUGCACUGGUUUUGAAGUCAGUUACUUAAUGGUGAGGUGAGAAAUGUAUCCUGUUGCUAAAUCUGUCUUAGACCCUUGGUGAAACUUGAAGAUUUCAGUUUAUAAAGAUAAAAUCAAGCAUCUUUUGUGCAGUUUUCUUUUUUUAAUGCAAGAAUGGUGGGGAGGUUUGUUUGUAAGCAUGAAACUUUGAGAAUCUUU
rnacentral:sRNA from 1 species